rnacentral:rRNA from 1 species
AGAGUUUGAUCAUGGCUCAGAACGAACGCUGGCGGCAGGCCUAACACAUGCAAGUCGAACGAGAAGCCACCUUCGGGUGGUGGACAGUGGCAGACGGGUGAGUAACGCGUGGGAACGUGCCUUUCGGUUCGGGAUAACCCAGGGAAACUUGGGCUAAUACCGGAUACGCCCUCCGGGGGAAAGAUUCAUCGCCGAAAGAUCGGCCCGCGUCGGAUUAGCUAGUUGGUAGGGUAAUGGCCUACCAAGGCGACGAUCCGUAGCUGGUCUGAGAGGAUGACCAGCCACACUGGGACUGAGACACGGCCCAGACUCCUACGGGAGGCAGCAGUGGGGAAUAUUGGACAAUGGGCGAAAGCCUGAUCCAGCCAUGCCGCGUGGGUGAAGAAGGCCUUAGGGUUGUAAACCCCUUUCAGCGGGGAAGAUAAUGACGGUACCCGCAGAAGAAGUCCCGGCUAACUCCGUGCCAGCAGCCGCGGUAAUACGGAGGGGACUAGCGUUGUUCGGAAUUACUGGGCGUAAAGCGCACGUAGGCGGAUUUGUAAGUCAGGGGUGAAAUCCCGGGGCUCAACCCCGGAACUGCCUUUGAUACUGCGAAUCUCGAGUCCGGAAGAGGUGAGUGGAAUUCCUAGUGUAGAGGUGAAAUUCGUAGAUAUUGGGAAGAACACCGGUGGCGAAGGCGGCUCACUGGCUCAUUUCUGACGCUCAGGCGCGACAGCGUGGGGAUCAAACAGGAUUAGAUACCCUAGUAGUCC